rnacentral:rRNA from 1 species
UACGGGGGGGGGGCAAGCGUUGUUCGGAAUUACUGGGCGUAAAGGGCUCGUAGGUGGCCAACUAAGUCGGACGUGAAAUCCCUCGGCUUAACCGGGGAACUGCAUCCGAUACUGGAUGGCUUGAGUUCGGGAGAGGGAUGCGGAAUUCCAGGUGUAGCGGUGAAAUGCGUAGAUAUCUGGAGGAACACCGGUGGCGAAGGCGGCAUCCUGGACCGACACUGACGCUGAGGAGCGAAGCCAGGA